rnacentral:misc_RNA from 1 species
AAGUCGUAACAAGGUAACCGUAGGUGAACCUGCGGUUGGAUCAUUACCAACGUGGUUUGUUUUGCUGUGCGUUGCACGCAAACACAACUCAUUCUCCCCUCUGUGAACUGUUUUCUGUAUUUUGGCAGCCCUCCAACGGGAUGCGGGGGAGCGUGUGCAAACGCCAUCUCUACCGCGUCUUUGGGCUGUCGCCCUAUAUUCAACGCAUGUUUUAUUACUAUUCUGAUAGUCAUUCUGAUCUGAUGAGGGGGCGACCCUUCAGCAGUGAACCAUGUAAAUCAUUCAUUUACAACUUUUGACAACGGAUCUCUUGGCUCUC